rnacentral:rRNA from 1 species
UUUUAUGGAGAGUUUGAUCCUGGCUCAGGAUGAACGCUGGCGGCGUGCCUAAUACAUGCAAGUCGAGCGAACGGACGAGAAGCUUGCUUCUCUGAUGUUAGCGGCGGACGGGUGAGUAACACGUGGAUAACCUACCUAUAAGACUGGGAUAACUUCGGGAAACCGGAGCUAAUACCGGAUAAUAUUUUAAACCGCAUGGUUCAAAAGUGAAAGACGGUCUUGCUGUCACUUAUAGAUGGAUCCGCGCUGCAUUAGCUAGUUGGUAAGGUAACGGCUUACCAAGGCAACGAUGCAUAGCCGACCUGAGAGGGUGAUCGGCCACACUGGAACUGAGACACGGUCCAGACUCCUACGGGAGGCAGCAGUAGGGAAUCUUCCGCAAUGGGCGAAAGCCUGACGGAGCAACGCCGCGUGAGUGAUGAAGGUCUUCGGAUCGUAAAACUCUGUUAUUAGGGAAGAACAUAUGUGUAAGUAACUGUGCACAUCUUGACGGUACCUAAUCAGAAAGCCACGGCUAACUACGUGCCAGCAGCCGCGGUAAUACGUAGGUGGCAAGCGUUAUCCGGAAUUAUUGGGCGUAAAGCGCGCGUAGGCGGUUUUUUAAGUCUGAU